rnacentral:rRNA from 1 species
GAAUUCACUAGUGAUUCAGGCCUAACACAUGCAAGUCGAACGGCAGCACGGGGGCAACCCUGGUGGCGAGUGGCGAACGGGUGAGUAAUAUAUCGGAACGUACCCAGUAGUGGGGGAUAACUAUCCGAAAGGAUAGCUAAUACCGCAUACGAUCUGUGGAUGAAAGCAGGGGAUCUUCGGACCUUGUGCUAUUGGAAUGGCCGAUAUCUGAUUAGCUAGUUGGUAGGGUAAAAGCCUACCAAGGCGACGAUCAGUAGCUGGUCUGAGAGGACGACCAGCCACACUGGAACUGAGACACGGUCCAGACUCCUACGGGAGGCAGCAGUGGGGAAUUUUGGACAAUGGGGGCAACCCUGAUCCAGCAAUGCCGCGUGAGUGAAGAAGGCCCUCGGGUUGUAAAGCUCAUGGUCAGGGAAGAAACGGUGAUCUCUAAUAUAGAUGCUAAUGAC